rnacentral:rRNA from 1 species
GAUGAACGCUAGCUACAGGCUUAACACAUGCAAGUCGAGGGGAAACGAUAGAGAGAGCUUGCUUUUUUCUUAGGCGUCGACCGGCGCACGGGUGAGUAACGCGUAUCCAACCUGCCCACCACUUGGGGAUAACCUUGCGAAAGUAAGACUAAUACCCAAUGACGUCUCUAGAAGGCAUCUGAAAGGGAUUAAAGAUUUAUCGGUGAUGGAUGGGGAUGCGUCUGAUUAGCUUGUUGGCGGGGUAACGGCCCACCAAGGCAACGAUCAGUAGGGGUUCUGAGAGGAAGGUCCCCCACAUUGGAACUGAGACACGGUCCAAACUCCUACGGGAGGCAGCAGUGAGGAAUAUUGGUCAAUGGGCGAGAGCCUGAACCAGCCAAAGUAGCGUGCAGGAUGACGGCCCUAAUGGGUUGUAAACUUCUUUUAAUAUGGGAAUAAAGUGAGGAACGUGUUCCUUUUUUGUAUGUACC